rnacentral:lncRNA from 1 species
CGAAACGACAAACCUAGGGUUAAAAAGUCGGAUCCCGACUGCGAGUCGACUCCCCUGAGUCGCGAGUCGACUCGACCUCGAGUCGACUCCAGAAUAUGUGCGAGUCGACUCCCCCUUAGGAGCCGGCUCUGAAACAUACUCGAGUCGUCUCUAACUUUGGCACGCACCUAAAACUCAUGCUAUAAUCGUGCCAAAUGAGGGAAAAUCACCUAAUUAUGAUCUGAUUUGAUGAUCAUUGAAAAGAAACUCUAUUUUAACCACAUUGUAAUCAUCAAAAUCAAUC